rnacentral:rRNA from 1 species
GUCCACGCCGUAAACGAUGGGUGCUAGGUGCUAGGGGCUUUGACCACUCUGGUGCCGUAGCUAACGCAUUAAGCACCCCGCCUGGGGAGUACGGCCGCAAGGCUAAAACUCAAAGGAAUUGACGGGGGCCCGCACAAGCGGUGGAGCAUGUGGUUCAAUUCGACGCAACGCGAAGAACCUUACCUGGGCUAGAAAGUGCAAGAACCUGGUGGAAACAUCGGGGUGCCCUUCGGGGAGCUUGUAGUUAGGUGCUGCAUGGCUGUCGU